GACGAACCCGUCCAAACGUUAUUCGGAAUUACUGGGCUUAAAGGGUGCGUAGGCGGCGAGGAAAGUAGGGUGUGAAAUCCCUCGGCUUAACCGAGGAACUGCGCUCUAAACUACCUUGCUCGAGGGAGACAGAGGUGAGCGGAACUUAGGGUGGAGCGGUGAAAUGUGUUGAUAUCCUAAGGAACACCGGUGGCGAAGGCGGCUCACUGGGUCUCUUCUGACGCUGAGGCACGAAAGCUAGGGUAGCGAACGGGAUUAGAUACCCGGGUAGU
rnacentral:rRNA from 1 species